rnacentral:rRNA from 1 species
UACGAACUGUGCGAACGUUAUUCGGAAUCACUGGGCUUACAGGGUGCGUAGGCGGCCGAACAAGUCAGGUGUGAAAGCCCUCGGCUCAACCGAGGAACUGCGCUUGAAACUGUUUGGCUCGAGUCAACUAGAGGUGCACGGAACUUCCAGUGGAGCGGUGAAAUGUGUUGAUAUUGGAAGGAACACCGGAGGCGAAAACGGUGCACUGGGGUUGGUCUGACGCUGAGGCACGAAAGCCAGGGGAGCGAACGGG